rnacentral:lncRNA from 10 species
AGAAUUACUCAUUAUGAGAUCAUAAAAGAAAAGAAAAAGGUUUGAAAAGUGAUUAUGCCAUGAGAAUGAUAUGACUUGAGGAUGCAGGGGCAGCUUUCCUGAGAAAGUUGAAGUUAAGCCGAGCCAUUAAAAAUGCCUGGCUAAGCAAAGGAAUAGGGCUAGAAAUGAGGUAUCCCAAGAAAUCUGAAUAGAACUUAUAAAAUUCCAGAUGCUACAAACAACUAAGAGACUCAAGAAAUUUAAGCAAAGCUGAAAAACAGUGACUGAAACUCAAGAACAUUCUGGAGAGCAGGAUGUGCUCCACCCUUUAUAGCAGUUACCUGUUACCAACCUGGACAGCCUGAGACAACAUGAAUAAGAACGGUGGCUUUCAUUAAGUGAUGAGAGUUAUACAAUAUCAGAACCAGAAAGGAUCAUAGACAUCAUGUUUUCAAGCUUAAUACCCAUUGGAAUAAUCUGGGAAUCUUUAUAGAACUGCAGUGCUGAACGACUUGAUUAUAAAUGUGAUUUGGAAGAAUUUUAACAAGCAAUAAUAAGCAAGAAAACCCUGAGAUGGAAGAGCAAUGAAUGGCGGGAUUUAUUGUUAAAUGAAAAAAGCAACAUGGAGUAAAUUGCUAUAGUACACAGGAUGCUACAGUUUACCACAAGGUUCACUGUGUAUAGUUUACUGUGCAGUUUACUAUGAAGGGAGCCCCCAUAAAAUGAUGGACCUGUGGCCAUUAAUGCUGAUCAAUGACCAGAAACAUCCCCAAAAAAGAGACACCCAGAUAUUUUCUGCAGUGUGAUGGAAGCACAUAGCACAAUCUAUAAAGUGGUUGUGCCAAAAAUAUGAACCCUGAAUCAGAGUAACUCUCUAAAUUUAUCUAUCAGUUUUCAGGAAAUAUAGUAGUAGAGAAAUAUGCAAACAGUACUACAGGAACCCUAAGUAGCAAAAUGCAGGAUGUAAGAAACACUACUGGACACACAACGUGGUUUCUUCAAAAAAAUAAGUUGCAAGGAAGUUAAAAUGUUAUUGAUUGAGAGACCUAGAUAUAUCGAACAAAUGCAGUAUGUGACUUCUUGUGAAUCCUGAUUCAACUGUUUUUAAAAAACUUGGAAGCAGGUGUGAUGAAUUUGAAUACUGAGUAAAUAUUUGUUAAUAUUAAAGAAUCAGUAUAAUAGUAUUAAUUUUUAGAUGUGACAAUGGUUUCCUUUAUAAAAGAGUCUUAUCCUUCAGAGAUACAUAAUGAAGUAGUUACAAAGCGAGUAAUACAUAUGGAAUUUGCUUCCCAAUAAUCUGGAGGGGUGGAGUAGGAUGUGGAUGGGUUGAAAACUGAUACAAGAGGGGUCCUGAGUUAAUACUUAUGGAUGGGUGUUGGGUACAUUUGAGUCCACGGUAUUCUCUAUACUUUUGUGUAUAUUUGAAAAUUUUUAUAUCAGAAUAAAAAAGCUUGCUAAUGCAUCUCAUUUUAGUAAACAAACUAUUGAUUCCCUUUCACAUAAUAAUAUUACUACUACUGGUAAUUUAGUGCUUGCUCUUACGGAGCAAACAUUUAAUGCAUUUUCUUAAUUAUCUUGAUAAAUGGUUAACUCUGCCUCUUACUGUGAAUACACUGCAUUCUUAGCUCAAGAAAUAUGCUUUAAUAAUUCUUUCAAAUUAAUUAUCAGCUCUAAAGGGUAUCGUUGGCCCAUAAGGUCUCACAAUUUUAGUCCAGUCUUAAGAAAACGAGUAACACGAGUGAGCAGAGUCCAAAUUGGAAUGAAUAAGGUCCUCCCUCAGCUUAUUAAUGCAUUUAGUACGCCAUGCUUCAUUAAGUUGCUAUCAUUUUUAACAACGUCAGCUGCAGGGAAAACCCAGGCAAGCAUUUUCCUUGUCUUUAGCACUACCCUUGACAUCUAUUCUCUUCUCACAUAUUUUUCUCUCAUUUGAAACAAUCUGUGGUUUCAAAAGAUUGACCUGCCUCCUGUGAAUAAGUCAUUGGCACAGCAUGGCUUUCCCACCAGCUACUGGUAAAAGAGCAGGUAGGCUGAGUUCCUCAUGGAACAUGACAGUCCUUUCAAUGAAACUGUCACAGAGUACAACAAUGGUGUGAAUCACAGGCAAUCAGAAAUAUGACAGUUUAAAUUUGCCUUCUAAAAUUUAUUCACCCUGGAGAAAUACCUGGCAUUGCCUUUGUUUUUUGUGCUUCUGUAUUUACCAAGAUCAGAGUCACUUAACACUUAGUCAAUUUUAGCUAUUGCAAAUGAAAUAUCAUCAUCUACCGGGCUGGUCUCCAGCUCCUAACCGCGAGUGAUCUGCCAGCCUCGGCCUCCCGAGGUGCCGAGAUUGCAGACGGAGUCUCGUUCACUCAGUGCUCAAUGUUGCCCAGGCUGGAGUGCAGUGGUGUGAUCUCGGCUAGCUACAACCUCCACCUCCCAGCCGCCUGCCUUGGCCUCCCAAAGUGCCGAGUUUGCAGCCUCUGCCCGGCCGCCACCCCGUCUGGGAAGUGAGGAGCGUCUCUGCCUGGCCGCCCAUCGUCUGGGAUGUAAGGAGCCCCUCUGCCUGGCUACCCAGUCUGGGAAGUGAGGAGUGCCUCUUCCGGACCGCCAUCCCGUCUAGGAAGUGAGGAGCGUCUCUGCCCGGCCGCUGCGUCUGAGAAGUGAGGAGCCCCUCUGCCCGGCAGCCGCCCCAUCUGAGAAGUGAGGAACCCCUCCGCCCGGCAGCCGCCCCGUCUGAGAAGUGAGGAGCCCCUCCGCCCGGCAGCUACCCCAUCUGGGAAGUGAGGAGCGUCUCCGCCCGGCAGCCACCCCGUCCGGGAGGGAGGUGGGGGCAGCCCCCACCCUGCCAGCCGCCCCGUCCAGGAGGGAGGUAGGGGGCAGCCCCCGCCUGGCCAGCCACCCCGUCUGGGAGGGAGGUGGGGGGCGCCUCUACCGGCCACCCCUUCUGGGAAGUGAGGAGCCCCUCUGCCCAGCCGCCACCCCAUCUGGGAGGUGUACCCAGCAGCUCAUUGAGAACGGGCCAUGAUGAUGAUGGUGGUUUUGUGGAAUAGAAAAGGGGGAAAUGUGGGGAAAAGAUAGAGAAAUCAGAUUGUUGCUGUGUCUGUGUAGAAAGAAGUAGACAUAGGAGACUCCAUUUUGUUCUGUACUAAGAAAGAUUCUUCUGCCUUGGGAUGCUGUUGAUCUAUGACCUUACUCCCAACCCCGUGCUCUCUGAAACAUGUGCUGUGUCCACUCAGGGUUGAAUGGAUUAAGGGCGGUACAAGAUGUGC